GAACGAACGCUGGCGGCGCGCCUAAUACAUGCAAGUCGAGCGAGAAGACGUAGCAAUACGUUUGUAAAGCGGCGAACGGGUGAGGAAUACAUGGGUAACCUACCCUCGAGUGGGAAUAACUAGCCGAAAGGUUAGCUAAUACCGCGUACGCUCCUUGGACUUCGGUUCAGGGGAGGAAAGGCGAUACCGUGGGUAUCGCGCUCUUGGAUGGGCUCAUGUCCUAUCAGCUUGUUGGUGAGGUAACGGCUCACCAAGGCUUCGACGGGUAGCUGGUCUGAGAGGACGAUCAGCCACACUGGCACUGCGACACGGGCCAGACUCCUACGGGAGGCAGC
rnacentral:rRNA from 1 species